rnacentral:rRNA from 1 species
ACACGUGGUGACCUGCCUUCGAGUGGGGGAUAACGUCCCGAAAGGGACGCUAAUACCGCAUGACAUCCUGCCUUUGAAGAGGCGGAGAUCAAAGCCGGGGAUCGCAAGACCUGGCGCUUGAAGAGGGGCCCGCGUCCGAUUAGCUAGUUGGUGGGGUAACGGCUCACCAAGGCAACGAUCGGUAGCCGGCCUGAGAGGGCGGACGGCCACACUGGGACUGAGACACGGCCCAGACUCCUACGGGAGGCAGCAGUGGGGAAUUGUUCGCAAUGGGCGCAAGCCUGACGACGCAACGCCGCGUGGAGGAUGAAGACCUUCGGGUCGUAAACUCCUUUCGAUCGAGACGAACGGCUUCCGGGUGAACAAUCCGGGAGAGUGACGGUACCGAGAG